AUCCGGCUGACGAGUUUCAAACAGGACGAAACGCGCGUCCCAGGU
rfam:Schistosoma mansoni strain Puerto Rico chromosome 1, complete genome